UUUUUGGCUAUUUGGUUGAAAGACAAAUUUCUGAUCUAGACACUGUUUGAAAAUGGGUCAAAUUCGACCCGAAGACAACAGGAGGGUUAAA